rnacentral:lncRNA from 1 species
UGUAUGUGCGAGCAUGGAAGUGUUGCUUCAGCUUGAAUGUUUGCGAGAAUCUCCAAGGGCACAAAUGGAAUUCAUAUCGACGCUGGCCUAUAUGGGCCGUGGUGCAUGCUUCAGAUCAUGCUUAGCUCUCUCACAGGCACAGGAGUUACAGCUGUGGCAGUAUCCUUGAU